rnacentral:rRNA from 1 species
UGGUUCUGGAUGAGUGGCGAACGGGUGAGUAACACGUGAGUAACCUGCCCCCUUCUUCUGGAUAACCGCAUGAAAGUGUGGCUAAUACGGGAUAUUCUGGGUCUGUCGCAUGACGGGCCCGGGAAAGAUGCUGCUUUGGGUGGGGUUGGGGUGGGAUGCUAUCACCUUGUUGGUGGGGUGAUGGCCUACCAAGGCGGUGACGGGUAGCCGGCCUGAGAGGGUGGACGGUCACACUGGGACUGACACACGGCCCAGACUCCUACGGGAGGCAGCAGUGGGGAAUAUUGCACAAUGGGCGCAAGCCUGAUGCAGCGACGCCGCGUGAGGGAUGGAGGCCUUCGGGUUGUAAACCUCUUUCACCAGUGAAGCAGGCCUGCUCCUUGUGGGUGGGUUGACGGGAGCUGGAUAAGAAGCGCCGGCUAACUACGUGCCAGCAGCCGCGGUAAUACGUAGGGCGCGAGCGUUGUCCGGAAUUAUUGGGCGUAAAGAGCUCGUAGGCGGCUGGUCGCGUCUGUCGUGAAAUCCUCUGGCUUAACUGGGGGCUUGCGGUGGGUACGGGCCGGCUUGAGUGCGGUAGGGGAGACUGGAACUCCUGGUGUAUCGGUGGAAUGCGCAGAUAUCAGGAAGAACACCGGUGGCGAAGGCGGGUC